rnacentral:rRNA from 1 species
UACGUAGGGUGCAAGCGUUAAUCGGAAUUACUGGGCGUAAAGCGUGCGCAGGCGGUUUUGUAAGCCAGAUGUGAAAUCCCCGGGCUUAACCUGGGAAUGGCAUUUGGGACUGCAAGGCUCGAGUGCGGCAGAGGAGACUGGAAUUCCUGGUGUAGCAAUGAAAUGCGUAGAUAUCGGGAGGAACACCAGUGGCGAAGGCGACUUCCUGGCCUGUUCUUGACGCUGAGGCGCGAAAGCUAGGGGAGCAAACGGG